AAGGGGGCGGGUCUGGCGCGCCCCUCCCCCCCAGUGGAAUCUUUCUGCGCUUGCGCAGGGAUUUCCGAGGCUGCAUUCCGUCGCCGUGGAGACGGAGGCUCCCUGAGUGACGUCUUGCUCGGAAUAGGCGGGGCUUCCAGAAAUGAAGCGGAAAAAGCAUCCUCUGUUGUGUUUCCAAUUUUAUUUGAGACAGGCUCCCACUAAAUUCCCCAGGCCCCCCAACUUGUGAUUCUCCUGCCUUAGUCUUCCAUUUAGCUAGGAUGAUAGGCGUGCGUGAUCACGCCUGACUUUUCUCUCUACAGGGGGUUAAACCAGGGCCUUAUCACUGAGCUACAUCCCCUUUUUAAAUUUUUAUUCUUUGAGAUGGGGUCUUGCUAAAUAGCUGAAUUGACCAAGCAGGGCUCAAAUUUGUGAUCCACUACCUGUGGACCACCACGUCAGGUUGAACCAAUUUUAUUUAUUUUUCAGUAUUGGAGAUUAAACCCAGGACUGAGCUAUAUCUUUGGCCCUUUUAAAAUUUUGAACAGGGUCUCACUAAGUUGCCCAGGCUGGGCUCGAACUUGGAAUCCUUCUUCGCCAUCCUCCCAGAGUGCUAGGAUUACAAGCAUGUGCCACCAUGCCCGAUUUAUCCAACAUUUUUUGAUGGCAUUGUUUUAAAAUCUAAGUCAUGCCCCUACUUUCUUUUUUUGGUUUUGGUUUUGUGGUGUGGGGUUGAAACCCAGAGCGUCCCACGUUCCAGCCAAGCACUCUCCCCCUGCAGCCUACACCAGCUGUUGCCUAGCCUGCCACACGGCUCUCAAAGAACCUUUUCUCUCUACUUUGCUGAAGUGAGUCCUCUAGCAGCCCCUGAGAAGGGCUGGAGUCGUUGUUUGACUGUAUGUGAAUGAUAUGGACAGUGGAAAGGCUCUGACCUGACCAAGGGCCCAAAGGGAGACAAAGAGGACUGCGAGGACCAGGCAACCUCAUGCAAGAACCAAGGGACCCUCUGGAGUCCCUGCCCCAGCCUGCAAUUCCCAGCUACACUGGACCUGCAGCUCUGCCUCAACGUGAGCCAGCACCAGCCUAGGAGGACCCAGUCCCUGACACUGCAGCUGCACCAGGAGAAAAAGACUGACUUUAUCCUUGGUUUGAGAGAAAAUUAAAAUGGAAACAAAGCUUUUGUACAUAGGGGAGGGGAUUGAGGGGGAAA